AUCAUUAUGAUGUCUAGCCCUUGAUUUGUGGCUUUUACAAAGGCAAAGAUUUGGCAUGAGCCGAAAGAGAUAAGAGGAGGGAGAGAAGGCGGUAAGGCAUUUGGUUAUGCCUUUGUGAUGAGUAAAGAGAGCAUCCAAUGGGGGACAUCAUUAUGAUGUCUAGCCCUUGAUUUGUGGCUUUUACAAAGGCAAAGUGUGAUGAGCCGAAAGAGAGAAGAGGAGGGAGAGAAGGCGGGGCCUUUGUGAUGAGUAAAGAGAGCAUCCAACGGGGAGAGCAUUCGGCUCUCCCAUGGAAGGUUGAACAUGGGUUGAGAGAAAACAAAUGAUACAUAUGCAAUUAAUCUCUAAUAUAGGUUGAGUGUUAUAAUAUAUAUAUAUAUAUAUAUAUAAACAAAAACAAAAAAAAAACCCUAUGGUAUAGGUAGAUAAACACAAUUAAGCUUCAAUACAACUUCAAAAAAAAAAAAAAAAACAAUGGAAAGCAGAAAGAAACCCAAAAAAUAAAAAAUAAAAAAGAGGAAGAACCCAAAACACAAGAUUGAGUAAUGCAAAUUAACACAUCAAGAUAAAGAUAUUGACAGGGAGAAACAAGAUAAGAGAACUGAAACAAGAAAAGAGAAAUGAACGGUUUGGGUAACGAGAAGAAAAACGGAGAUUUAAAUCCCUAAUCCUAUAAUUCAGGAUAAGAUUAACAUUAAUCACAAAUGAAAAAAUAAACAGCAAUUACUUAAUUAAUCAAUUUAAGGGUAAAUUUGGCAAUCUAAUACAAAUAAGCUUAUGUGGAUAAUUAAUUACUGGACCUCAUCCGAAAAAUAAAACAAAUUAAGUUGGACUAUAACUAAUAAUGACUUAUAAAAUUGAACUUAUAUUAAGUUUCCCCUUCUCCAAAUUGGAUUCUCCCUCUAUUUUUAAAAUUGGACUUCUCCCUCUAUUAUAUUAAGUUCCCACCACCAAAUUCAAAAACUUGGUUUGCCAAAAUCUGAUUUAAACCCACCGCAUCCCAAAAUUGUGCCCACUCACUUUUAAAAUAUUAAUUAAAAAAAUAGUAGCUAUAUUAAAGGGUUAGAAACUGGAAAGCUUCCAUUCCACCAUUUCUCAUUCCGUCUCACCUUUACUCUCCCAAAAUUAAAAGGACGCUCAUUCCAGCUCCUCCGUCCAGUUCCAACCCAUUCAUCCAUGGAGUCUAUCCACCUCAAGCCUACUCCUCUGUCCAGUUCAAAGGCACUCCUCUGCCCUCUGGUGACACACACCGACACACAAGAGGGCCAAGAUACAUAUGGCUAAUAUGAUGCUUGAUGAUGAUGCAUUUUUGGCAUCUAUGGGAACUCAACCACACUUCCAAUUUGGUGUAGUCACCGAAAAUGAAUCAUUUGCAACCAACCAACCCCAUGAGACAUGUAGUCGACAUACGCAAUCAAGUGGCUCUACUUCUUUGUCACCCACAACUCGAAAGAGGAAUAGGGGAGUUAACAAAAUACGGUGGGGCAGAGGGAGGUGCGAAAAACUGAACUUUAACAGAUUUGGUCAACCUAUUUCUCCUCGUGACAAUGUGGCCAAAUUUGGGCGCUACAUAGCCAUGUUGGCUCGUGAUGGUGGAAUAAUCCCAAUUGAUUCACCUGAUUGGCGCCAAAUAGAAUCUUCGAAACUUGAUCGAGUGUGGUCAUUGGUCCAGGCCACUAUAGACUGGACAAAUCCAAAAGCUGCUGGCAAGGAGGACAAAGUAAGGGCUAUUGUGGAAACGAAAUUGCAUGAUCGUUUCAGGACAUGGAGGGCAAAACUCCGUAAGUUGUAUUAUGUUCCCUUUGAGAACUCCGAGCACAGGAAGCAUUGCAAUGAUUCUAGGGUAAUCCAGAGACAAUGGCAAUCCUUGGUAGCUUAUUGGGAUAAAAUUGAAAAUAAGCGGAGAUGUGCAACGAAUGUCAAGAAUCGAAAGAUGUUAAAGACGAGUCACACAACUGGGACAACAACUUUUGCUCAAAUACGGAAUGAUUAUGAACAGCGGUUUAUUACCCUUAUUGAUGUUUGUGUUUAUAUAUAGUGCACUAUAGUUUUUGUCAUUGUAACUGUGAUUGUUUAAUGAUUGUGGUUGUUUUUGGGAUUUUUUUUGUGUCUUAGGCUGAAGAACAUGAUGGAAAUGAACCUGAUCGUGUGACUUUUUUCAAAAUGGCACACACAAGAGGACCUAAGCAACUCCCAGUUGAUGAUGAAUCUGCUAGAAUGAUGUUAGCGUUUGAAAAUCUGGAAGUGGAGGUUCGUGAACGUGGUGAUGAGGUAACAACAGAGGUUCGUAAUAAGAUUUAUGCAGAAGUGUUGGGCCCAGAGAAGUGAAAUCAAGUGCGAGGCUUUGGCCUUGGAGUUGGUUGGGCAGAUGUACCAGGAAUUGUUACUGAACAGCGAGGUAUUUCUAGGGAAGUGAAGUAUCUUCGGGAAGCUUAUGAAGCUCAGAAAGAAGCCACUGCUGCUGCGGAAGAAAAAAUGACUCGUAUGAUGCAUGAGGCAAAUGAGAAAGCGGAAAAGAUGAAAAGAGAGCAAGAAGAAAGCAUACAAAGGCUUAGGGCCGAACAAGAGGAGAAUUUGAGGUUAGCAAAGGUGCAAAUGGCU